GACGAACGCUGGCGGCGUGCCUAAUACAUGCAAGUAGGACGCAGUUGCGAACGGGUGAGUAACGCGUAGGUAACUACCUAUUAGAGGGGGAUAACUAUUGGAAACGAUAGCUAAUACCGCAUACUAGUAGAUGGACCUGCGUUGUAUUAGCUAGUAGGUAGGGUAAUGGCCUACCUAGGCAACGAUACAUAGCCGACCUGGGGAGGUGGACCGGCAACCUGGGAACGGAGCACGGCCCAGACUCCUUCCGGGGGCAGCAGUAGGGAAACUUCGGCCAUGGGGGGAAACCUGACCGAGCAACGCCGCGGGAGUGGAGAAAGGUUUCGGAUCGUAAAGCUCUGUUGUUAAGGAAGCGGUACUUAACCAGAAAGCGACGGCUAACUACGUGCCAGCAGCCGCGGUAAUUC
rnacentral:rRNA from 1 species